GGGAGCAGGAGGGUCGCUGACAGUGUACGACACUGAGGAAAGUCCCCUCUCCGUGAUGCGAGUGGCUCGACGCAAGUCGGGGGUCCGGGAGGGCCGGCUCUGCAACAGAAACGAACUGCCCCGGGAGUACGAUGAAUCCGCGAGGAGGAGGUUUCCCGACGGUGGCUGGAACGAGCAACCCCGCUGGAGCAAGUCCAAGCAGGCCCGUAGUGCAUCAGCAGGGCCGGGUAGGAUGCAUAGUUGAAUGCGACCAGCCGAAAGGUGAACAGAAAGGGGCUUAUUCCCUGCACCC
rnacentral:RNase_P_RNA from 10 species